CAUCGGGGUGCCGCAGGGCUGAGAUUGGGCAAUGUCCCAGAACCCGAAAACCUGAUACGGAUCAUGCCGGCGUAGGGAAUGCAGAAAU
rnacentral:ncRNA from 1 species